AGGGUUCCACCUCUUCCCAUUCCGAACAGAGAAGUUAAACCUGUCCGCGCCGAUGGUACUGCAACAGCGGGAGAGUAGGUCGCCGCCAUCA
rnacentral:rRNA from 1 species